rnacentral:rRNA from 1 species
UGGGCGUUAAGUUGCAGGGUAUAGACCCGAAACCCGGUGAUCUAGCCAUGGGCAGGUUGAAGGUUGGGUAACACUAACUGGAGGACCGAACCGACUAAUGUUGAAAAAUUAGCGGAUGACCUGUGGCUGGGGGUGAAAGGCCAAUCAAACCGGGAGAUAGCUGGUUCUCCCCGAAAGCUAUUUAGGUAGCGCCUCGUGAAUUCAUCUCCGGGGGUAGAGCACUGUUUCGGCUAGGGGGCCAUCCCGGCUUACCAACCCGAUGCAAACUGCGAAUACCGGAGAAUGUUAUCACGGGAGACACACGGCGGGUGCUAACGUCCGUCGUGAAGAGGGAAACAACCCAGACCGCCAGCUAAGGUCCCAAAGUCAUGGUUAAGUGGGAAACGAUGUGGGAAGGCCCAGACAGCCAGGAUGUUGGCUUAGAAGCAGCCAUCAUUUAAAGAAAGCGUAAUAGCUCACUGGUCGAGUCGGCCUGCGCGGAAGAUGUAACGGGGCUAAACCAUGCACCGAAGCUGCGGCAGCGACACUGUGUGUUGUUGGGUAGGGGAGCGUUCUGUAAGCCUGUGAAGGUGUGUCGUGAGGCAUGCUGGAGGUAUCAGAAGUGCGAAUGCUGACAUAAGUAACGAUAAAGCGGGUGAAAAGCCCGCUCGCCGGAAGACCAAGGGUUCCUGUCCAACGUUAAUCGGGGCAGGGUGAGUCGACCCCUAAGGCGAGGCCGAAAGGCGUAGUCGAUGGGAAACGGGUUAAUAUUCCCGUACUUGGUGUUACUGCGAAGGGGGGACGGAGAAGGCUAUGUUGGCCGGGCGACGGUUGUCCCGGUUUAAGUGUGUAGGUGUGUGUUCCAGGUAAAUCCGGUUCACUUUAACACUGAGGCGUGACGACGAGGCACUACGGUGCUGAAGCAACAAAUGCCCUGCUUCCAGGAAAAGCCUCUAAGCAUCAGGUAACAUCAAAUCGUACCCCAAACCGACACAGGUGGUCAGGUAGAGAAUACCAAGGCGCUUGAGAGAACUCGGGUGAAGGAACUAGGCAAAAUGGUGCCGUAACUUCGGGAGAAGGCACGCUGACACGUAGGUGAAGUGAUUUACUCAUGGAGCUGAAGUCAGUCGAAGAUACCAGCUGGCUGCAACUGUUUAUUAAAAACACAGCACUGUGCAAACACGAAAGUGGACGUAUACGGUGUGACGCCUGCCCGGUGCCGGAAGGUUAAUUGAUGGGGUCAGCGCAAGCGAAGCUCCUGAUCGAAGCCCCGGUAAACGGCGGCCGUAACUAUAACGGUCCUAAGGUAGCGAAAUUCCUUGUCGGGUAAGUUCCGACCUGCACGAAUGGCGUAAUGAUGGCCAGGCUGUCUCCACCCGAGACUCAGUGAAAUUGAACUCGCUGUGAAGAUGCAGUGUACCCGCGGCAAGACGGAAAGACCCCGUGAACCUUUACUAUAGCUUGACACUGAACAUUGAGCCUUGAUGUGUAGGAUAGGUGGGAGGCUUUGAAGUGUGGACGCCAGUCUGCAUGGAGCCGACCUUGAAAUACCACCCUUUAAUGUUUGAUGUUCUAACGUGGACCCGUUACCCGGGUUGCGGACAGUGUCUGGUGGGUAGUUUGACUGGGGCGGUCUCCUCCUAAAGAGUAACGGAGGAGCACGAAGGUUGGCUAAUCCUGGUCGGACAUCAGGAGGUUA